AGUGAACGCUGGCGGUAGGCCUAACACAUGCAAGUCGAACGGCAGCACAGUAAGAGCUUGCUCUUACGGGUGGCGAGUGGCGGACGGGUGAGGAAUACAUCGGAAUCUACUUUUUCGUGGGGGAUAACGUAGGGAAACUUACGCUAAUACCGCAUACGACCUACGGGUGAAAGCAGGGGAUCUUCGGACCUUGCGCGAUUGAAUGAGCCGAUGUCGGAUCAGCUAGUUGGCGGGGUAAAGGCCCACCAAGGCGACGAUCCGUAGCUGGUCUGAGAGGAUGAUCAGCCACACUGGAACUGAGACACGGUCCAGACCCCUAGGGGAGGCAGCAGUGGGGAAUAUUGGACAAUGGGCGCAAGCCUGAUCCAGCCAUACCGCGUGGUGAAGAAGGCCUUCGGGUUGUAAAGCCCUUUUGUUGGGAAAGAAAAGCAGCAGGUUAAUACCCCGCUGUUCUGACGGUACCCAAAGAAUAAGCACCGGCUAACUUCGUG
rnacentral:rRNA from 1 species